rnacentral:rRNA from 1 species
UACAGAGGGGGCAAGCGUUGUUCGGAAUUACUGGGCGUAAAGGGCGCGUAGGCGGCCUUCUAAGUCGAACGUGAAAUCCCCGGGCUCAACCCGGGAACUGCGUCCGAUACUGGGAGGCUUGAAUCCGGGAGAGGGAUGUGGAAUUCCAGGUGUAGCGGUGAAAUGCGUAGAUAUCUGGAGGAACACCGGUGGCGAAGGCGGCAUCCUGGACCAACACUGACACUGAGGAGCGAAAGCCAGGGGAGCAAACGGG